rnacentral:rRNA from 1 species
AAGGGCACCACAAGAACGCGUGGAGCAUGUGGCUUAAUUUGACUCAACGCGGGAAAACUUACCGGGUCCGGACACACUGAGGAUUGACAGGCGAGAAUAGUUCUAUUGACUAUUCGAUACAUAUGUAAGUCCUUUCAUGAUUGUGUGAUAGGUGGUGCAUGGCCGUUCUUAGUUCGUGGAGUGAUCUGUCUGCUUAAUUGCGUUUCAGAUAUAUAAAGGUUAGCUUAUAUAUUGCGAGGUAAUAGUACACCUUCGGGUUACUCUACUGAGCAGGCUACCUUUUGAAAGCAACGAACGUGACCUCAACUCAAUGUUAUCUAUGUAUUAUAUAUAGACCAACUUUGAGGACCGCCAGAGUUGUCAACUCGGAGGAAGGUUGAGGCAAUAACAGGUCUGUGAUGCCCUUAGAUGUUCCGGGCUGCACACGUGCUACAAUGAUUGUUGCAGAAAGUAUCUGCUUCUAACUAAUGUACACUGUACUUCGGUACUUUGUAUAGUGUAUAGUACUUCGGUACUAUAUAUAAACCUAUCUCGAAAGUACGAUAGGCAAUCAAUUCCAAGUAACAAUCUCUUAUACUUAGCACAAGUCAAAGGAAUUGCACUGCAACACAUUCGUAUGAGUUGUAGUCUAUUCCGUGCUCCAAUUGAAUUCGUGGUCGGGACAGACCAUUGUGUAAUUGUUGGUCUCGGUCUCAACUAGGAAUGCCUUGUACGGGUCUUUGGUUCAACAAACCACCCGGAAUACGUCCCUGCCCUUUGUACACACCGCCCGUCGCUCUUACCGAUGGACUAUUCUGUGAGUUUGAGGGACUGGCUUAUAUAUAGUUCAUUCUAUAUGCUAUGGAAACUUAAACGAACAGUGUGGUCUAAAGGAAAGAGAAGUCGUAACAAGGCAUCGGUAGGUGAACCU